rnacentral:rRNA from 1 species
AUUGAACGCUGGCGGCAGGCCUAACACAUGCAAGUCGAACGAGUGGCGGACGGGUGAGUAAUGUCUGGGAAACUGCCUGAUGGAGGGGGAUAACUACUGGAAACGGUAGCUAAUACCGCAUACCAUCGGAUGUGCCCAGAUGGGAUUAGCUAGUAGGGGGGGUAAAGGCUCACCUAGGCGACGAUCCCUAGCUGGUCUGAGAGGAUGACCAGCAACACGGGAACUGGGCCACGGCCCAAACUCCUACGGGAGGCAGCAGUGGGGAAUAUUGCACAAGGGGGGCAAGCCUGAUGCAGCCAGGCCGCGUGUAUGAGGAGGGCCUUCGGGUUGUAAAGUACUUUCAGCGGGGAGGCGUUACCCGCAUAAGAAGCACCGGCUAACUCCGUGCCAGCAGCCGCGGUAAUAC